UUAAUAGUUCAGUCAGUAGAGCGUGAGGCUCUUGAUCUCAGGGUUGUGGAUUCAAAUUCCACGUUGGGCAAAA